rnacentral:rRNA from 1 species
UGAGGAAUAUUGGUCAAUGGGCGAGAGCCUGAACCAGCCAAGUCGCGUGAAGGAAGACUGCCCGCAAGGGUUGUAAACUUCUUUUGUAUGGGAUUAAAGUCGUCUACGUGUAGGCGUUUGCAGUUACCAUACGAAUAAGCAUCGGCUAACUCCGUGCCAGCAGCCGCGGUAAUACGGAGGAUGCGAGCGUUAUCCGGAAUUAUUGGGCGUAAAGGGUGCGCAGGCGGCUUUACAAGUUGGAUGUGAAAUAUUGUGGCUCAACCACAAACGUGCAUCCAAAACUGCAAAGCUUGAGUUAAGGAGAGGUAAGUGGAAUUCCUGGUGUAGCGGUGGAAUGCGUAGAUAUCAGGAGGAAUACCGGUGGCGAAGGCGACUUACUGGACUUAAACUGACGCUCAGGCACGAAAGCGUGGGGAGCAAACAGG